CCUACGGGAGGCAGCAGUGAGGAAUAUUGGUCAAUGGGCGAGAGCCUGAACCAGCCAAGUCGCGUGAAGGAUGACGGCCCUACGGGUUGAAAACUUCUUUUGUCAGGGAGCAAUUGGGUCCACGCGUGGGCUUAGCGAGAGUACCUGAAGAAAAAGCAUCGGCUAACGCGGUGCCAGCAGCAGCGGUAAUAUGGAGGAUGCGAGCGUUAUCCGGAUUUAUUGGGGUUAAAGGGUGCGUGGGCGGAAUAUCAAGUCAGCGGUAAAAAUUUGGGGCUCAACCCUGUCGUGCCGUUGAAACUGAUGUUCGUGAGUGGGCGAGAAGUAUGCGGAAUGCGUGGUGUAGCGGUGAAAUGCAUAGAUAUCACGCAGAACCCCGAUGGCGAAGGCAGCCUGCCGCAGCGUUACUGACGCUGAGGCUCGAAAGCGCGGGUAGCGAACAGGAUUAGAUACCCCAGUAGUC
rnacentral:rRNA from 1 species